AUAGGAUCUGAUGACAUGUGCCUUACAAGUGGAAAAAGCAUGAUUUCUAUGGACCUUUGCCACAUAAUGGGGAGGGUUAAGAAAAAUGCUAUGAUGCAGUACUACACAGCACUAAGUGCUCUAUGAGGAGAGGAAGAGCAUUCUGAAGAAGUCUCUUUAAGCAGGCUUUCCAACAAACCUGGCAUUGAUGAUUCAUGGCCUGCAUCAGAUGAAGAAGACUUCGAUUUUGACACCAAGGUGAAGUGCUCUCGGGUGAAAUUAGUUUUCCUGCUCUGAAUUUAGUUUUAUUUAGUCUUAAAAUUUAGUACUGGUCUGCCUAUCAUUGUUUUAUGUUUGUAAUGGAGAG